UGGCCUGGACAGGAAGACGAGAGCCAGGCCCAGCUGCUCUACCUCCCAGGACUGCUUCUCGUGAGGAAAACAGGGCCACACUCACCACUGGUUGGCGUGGUUUAGUCAGUAGGUGGUAAAGACUUAGAAGGUGCUUCUGGAAGAUUCUUCUAUAAUGCAAGGAACCAUUCCCCAACUCAAGUAGGGGCUUACUCCUAAAGACAUAGCCCACUAUCAUCAGAUGGAUUUUUAUGGACUUUUUAUGAGAUUCCAGGUCUCACAGUCAAUAAGCUACUUAUGAAACUACUCAUGGAAUAAAAAUGUGGAAAAGUGUGGAA
rnacentral:lncRNA from 1 species